rnacentral:rRNA from 1 species
UACAGAGGUGGCAAGCGUUGUUCGGAUUUACUGGGCGUAAAGGGUGCGUAGGCGGCUCCGCAUGUCGGAUGUGAAAUCCCACGGAUCAUCUGUGGAACGGCAUUCGAAACUGCGGGGCUAGAGUGCGGGAGAGGAAGGUGGAAUUCUUGGUGUAGCGGUGAAAUGCGUUGAUAUCAAGAGGAACGCCGGUGGUGAAGACGACCUUCUGGAACGCAACUGACGCUGAGGCACGAAAGCUAGGGGAGCAAACAGG